rnacentral:rRNA from 1 species
ACUAAAUAGGAUUCCCUUAGUAAUGGCGAAUGAACAGGGAUCAGCUCAGUAUGGAAAUCGGGGCUUCCCAGCCUUGAAUUGUAGUCUCAAGAGGUAUCGCCAACGGAGGCGCAGAUGUAAGCCUCUUGGAAAAGAGCAUCAAUGAGGGUGAGAAUCCCGUUUGUCAUCUGCAGUCCCCCGUGCACGGUGUAUCUUCUAAGAGUCGCGUUCCUCGGGAUUGGAGCGUAAAGUGGGUGGUAAAUUUCAUCUAAGGCUAAAUAUGGGUUCGAGACCGAUAGCAAACAAGUACCAUGAGGGAAAGAUGAAAAGGACUUUGAAAAGAGAGUUAAAAGUGCCUGAAAUUGCUGAAAGGGAAGCGAAUGGAACCAGUGCUCUUGGCGAGAUUGUUGUGCGCUAUGGUGAUUGCUGGCUGCUUCAGCGCAAGCGGGGUAGUUGGUACUGAGCCUGCCGCGCGCAGUGUUUCUUACCUUGUGCGUCACCGUCGGUUCACAGGCGAGGAUACUUCUGAGGACAUGGUAACUCUUCCACGGAGGUGUGAAUGUCUUUGGUAAUACUCGUUUGUAGACCGCUCACCUUCGGGUUACGAUGACUAAAUGGUUCUAUUCGACCCGUCUUGAAA